AUGUCAGUAGAGCCACAUCAAUGGAGCUUGGUGGAUGCGUUUCAUGUAGUUUUAAGGCCUAGUGGAGAGGGAAGUGAAGCAACACUGCACGAGGAGUUUCUCGAAGGCAUGGAGAGGCAAGGGACACAUGAAAAUGCUCGGGAGGGUGAUAGACACAGGAGCUCAGUCGUCGGGCGCAGAGUUCUAGGCAACAUGACAGUGUUGGCAUUAUUUGUUUCUUUUUUCUUUUUUCUUCUUACAGGGUAUGCCACUAAUUCAUUCUUCCUUAGAAAACUUCAUUAUUUUGAUUUUUUAGUUUUUAUUUUAUUUUCUUCAUUUAGAAAACUACACAUAUUAUAG
rnacentral:rRNA from 1 species